rnacentral:misc_RNA from 1 species
CCGAGUUUACAACUCCCAAACCCCUGUGAACAUACCACUUGUUGCCUCGGCGGAUCAGCCCGCUCCUGGUAAAACGGGACGGCCCGCCAGAGGACCCCUAAACUCUGUUUCUAUAUGUAACUUCUGAGUAAAACCAUAAAUAAAUCA